UACGGAGGGGGCGAGCGUUAUUCGGAAUUAUUGGGCGUAAAGGGCGCGUAGGCGGCCAAGUAAGUCAAAGGUGAAAUCCCUCGGCUCAACUGAGGAAUUGCCUUUGAAACUGCGUGGCUUGAGGCCGGGAGGGGGUAGCGGAAUUCCCAGUGUAGCGGUGAAAUGCGUAGAUACUGGGAGGAACACCAGAGGCGAAGGCGGCUACCUGGACCGGUUCUGACGCUGAUGCGCGAAAGCGUGGGGAGCAAACAGG
rnacentral:rRNA from 1 species